UACGUAGGAUGCAAGCGUUGUCCGGAAUUAUUGGGCGUAAAGAGUUCGUAGGCGGUUGCCUAAGUCUGGUGUUAAAUACAGGAGCUCAACUCCUGCAUGGCACUGGAAACUGGGCAGCUAGAGUGUGGUAGAGGUCACGGGAAUUCCAGGUGUAGCGGUGAAAUGCGCAGAUAUCGGGAGGAACACCGGUGGCGAAGGCGGUUCUCUGGGCCUUACCUGACGCUGAGGAGCGAAAGCGUGGGGAGCGAACAGG
rnacentral:rRNA from 1 species